ACUAAAAAGAGAGUUGUGUUUUUCAUCCGUGACGCAGUCCUUAAAUCCAGCGAAGGCAGCUGCAGUCAAAGCAGUUGUCAGCAAAUGGUCUGUGUGAGGUGUUUUCCCUGUGCUAGUUGACGUUAGUCAAUGAGUGUUUUUCUGGUAUUGCAUCCUGGAAACAUUCUUAUUUAUGGUAUUUAUUAUGCUCUUCCUUUUCUAGAUGACAGGCAUGGGAAGCACAAAGGCAGAGUUGUCUCAUACAUUGAAGACUUCACAACUAGUAAUGAAACAGACUGGAAAGAGAAGGCAAGACUAAUGAGGGGAGAUAAUGAUGGGCAUAGAUGCAGCUAUCUCUGCAGGUUUCCCAAGUGAAUAGUAGUGAGUGUGUGGAAGUGGUUUCUAAUCAAUCCUGAUGCGUAUCCACGUACCCUGCCAUCUACAAUGAGCUCCAAGUCUGGUGACGUGGCUCAGACCUGUCUUUGCAGCAGUUUUAUCAACGCUCCCGUGCAUUGUGCUGAAGCCUGAGGGUGGGCACGUGUUUCAUUCUACUGGAGCCAAGAACAGGAGCAUCUUAAUCACAGUGUACCUACAGCUGUAAAAGGCACAGUGAGCCAGGAGAGGCCGGUGUCAUGGACUACAGUCACAUCUACAUGGCAGCACAAGGGACAGUAGAGAUUCCUCAUCUGACCUACAGUUGGCUUCAGGGGUCAAGCAGCCUGAGGAGAGGGAUAUAAUGUGAAAUAAUUUACAGAGUAUGCUUUGUGCCAAAGCCACCACCAUUCUGUAUUUGCUACUGGAAUUACAACAGAAAAUUCCUUAUAGUGAAAGUAAUAUGAGCACAAGCCAAAUGCUCAACUCGUUUCAAUUAUUCAGCAGCAAAAAAGCAAUGGAAGAGAAGCCAAGUGAAAAGCCCCAACAUUUACUGUGGGAAGUUUAAAGAAAAAAAAAAAAGGAGCAGCACUGACCAGAACCAGGACUGUGUCCAACAACGAUCACAUUUUCUCAUCAGAUGAAGCAAGAGAUUCCCAGGAUACAGCUGAAAUAGAAUUUUCUCUGUUGCCCUGAGUUUUGAAGGCCUCCCUCCCACCCCCAGUGAUGCAACCUGCAAUUCUUCCAAGAUACCAUGAAUCUCAAGAAGUUGGACACUGACAUCAAGUGCUGCAACGCUUGCAACAACAGUCACAGGAACAGACAGUAUUGUAUAUUGUUAGUGUAUAACAUCAGCAUUGUCAAAAAAGUGAAAGAAGAUGCUAUUACCUAUGUUUAUUUUACCUUAAGAUACUUACUGAAAUGUAUUAUAUAGAAAAUACCUUACAGGAAUACUCACAGAUUUUCAAUGUGUUCAAAGUUGUCUUCAAUAAACAAAAAUUACACUAA